rnacentral:rRNA from 1 species
UACAGAGGUCCCAAGCGUUAUUCGGAUUCACUGGGCGUAAAGGGUGCGCAGGCGGUCGGGUGUGUCAGAUGUGAAAUCCCGAGGCUCAACCUCGGAACUGCGUCUGAAACUACUCGACUAGAGUACUGGAGAGGGUAACGGAAUUCACGGUGUAGCAGUGAAAUGCGUAGAUAUCGUGAGGAACACCAGAGGCGAAGGCGGUUACCUGGACAGUUACUGACGCUCAGGCACGAAAGCAUGGGGGAGCAAAAGGG